GCCAGGUUAGCUCACUCGGUUAAGGCGCCGCAUUGCAGCUACGGCGCGGGUUCGAUCCCCGGUCGUGCCA